ACGCUCGACACCUACGGAGGCAGCAGUCGGGAAUAUUGCGCAAUGGAGGAAACUCUGACGCAGUGACGCCGCGUGCAGGAAGAAGGUUUUCGGAUUGUAAACUGCUUUAGACAGGGAAGAAAGAAAUGACAGUACCUGUAGAAUAAGCUCCGGCUAACUACGUGCUAGCAGCCGCGGUAAUCUGAGCGGGCUGGCAAGGC
rnacentral:rRNA from 1 species